CAUACUCUGAGGAAAGUAGUAUGGAGAUAGAUGAAUUCUCUGAGAAAGAGAGUGAGGAGAAGAAAAGGCCAAAGUCUGAGACCUGAAGAAUUAAGGAAUAUGGGGGCAUCAGAAUAGCGAGAGAAACCAGUUAGGAACACAGCAGAAGAGCAGCAGAGAGAAGGAGAAACAGCCCAAGUGAAAGAUCCAGCACAAGUGCAUGGAGCCUACAUGAUACUCAUUCGCCAUGACUGAGGGAAAUUCACUCUUUAAAUAUGCACUGAGGAGACUUCUGUUCCCAGGAAGAUGAAGUAGACAUCCUUUUUCCUAUUUCUGCCACUAAAUAAAGCUAAAAACUCUGGACAUUAUGUAUAAAACAAACAUAUGAAGAUUCGGAAAGUUGGAAAGAAGACAGAUCGGCUAAGGACCUCAGGACCAGUAGAAAGACAUGGUAGUGAAGUCUCUAGAUUUUCUUUUUGCUUUAUAGGUCUCUGGUCAGGUACUGGAGAAGCUAGCAAUCCAGAAAUUCCAAUGGGCUUGGACACAGUCAUGGGGAGGGGAGAACACGUGGGGAGUCUGGACUUCCACUCGCUCCCACCCAGUAGCUACAAGGUACCUCACCCCCAGGGUCAGUGGAGGGCACAUGGAGAGCACUAAUGAGGUGCCCCUGGAACUUCUAUCUCUAUCUUGGCAGUAAUGAGGCAGCAUCCUCCCUUCCUCUGAGGGAGUGGUGUCAGAGGAGGCCUGCUAAAAUACAAGAUUUAAAUAAGGUCCAGUCUUUUUAAUAUAAAACCCAAAAUGUCCAAGAAUCAAUGGAAAAUCACUCAUCGUAACAAGGAAGACCUCAACUUGAAUGAGAAAAGACAAUCAACAGAUGCCGAGACUGAAAUGAAACUGAUGUUAGUAUCAUCUGGCAAGGAUUUUGAAGCAGCCACCAUCAAGGUACUUCCAUGAACAAUUACAAACAUGCUUGAAACGAAUGAAAAAAUAGAAAGUCUCAGCAAAGAAACAGAAGCUACAAAGAAAAACCAAAUAGGAAAGUUAGAACUGAAAAACACAACAGCACAAUCAGUGCACUUGAGGAUAGAACACUAGAAAUUACUCAGUCUCAACAACAGAGGAAAAAAACUAGGGGGGGCCUGGGGUGGGGAAGAGCCUCAGGGACAAGUGGGACUGUAAGAAAAGAUCUAACACUUGGGUCACUGGAGUCCCAGAAGGAAAGGUGAAAAUAGAUGGGCUGAAGGAGUAUUUGAAAAAAUAAUGGCUGAAAACUACCUAAAUUUGGGAAAAGAUAUAAACCUAUAGUUCAAGAAGCUGAGCAAACCCCAAACAGAAUAAACCCAAAGAUAUUCAUGCCAACACACAUCAUAGUUAACCUUCUGAAAACUAAGGAUGGAAAAAAAAUCUUUUUUUUCCCCCUAGAUUGGCCAUGAGCUAACAUCUGUUGCCAAUCUUUUAUUUUCUUCUUCUUCUGCCCAAACUCCCCAGUACAUAGUUGUAUAUUCUAAUUGUAGGUCCUUCUUGUUCUGCUAUGUGGGACACCACCUCAGCAUGGCCUGAUGAGCUGUGCUAGGUCCGCGCCCAGGAUCCAAACUGGCAAAACCCAGGGACACUGAAGCGGAGCGAGCAGCCUUAACCACUCAGCCAUAGACCCAGCCUGGAAAAAAAUCUUAAAAGCAACCGGCGAGAAACCAUCCAUGAAACGCUCUGAUUUUUGGCAUUAGAGGAAUAGGCUGGUUACCAGCAUUUCCUGUUGAUUUCAACUAUUAGUCUUCUGCUUUUAACUGGACUCAACCAAGCCAAGAUGUACAGAGCAUUUACAUUUACAAAUUAUGCUGGGCACCUGGGGGACAUUUAUCACCCCAUUCUUCUUAUAGCUGCCCCACUGCAGGUGUUAUCCCUCAGAGCAAAUUAAGGAAUUCCAGAAUUGGAAAGAACCUCAAAAAAAAACAGGAAAUCAAGAGUAGAAAUUUGUAAUUUGGGAUUUCUGGAUGGGCUUCAGCUCUGUGAACUCCCUGAAAUUAAUCUAAAAAUGCCAGUAUGUAUGUGCUUUUUUCUAGGGAAAGGACCAUAGUUUUCAUCAGCUUCUCAAAGGAGCUGAUGGCCCCCAAAAGGUUAAGAGCCACCAUAAGAGUUUCUGUUCUUUUCAGGCAAACCCAUAUAAUCCAACCUAGAUAGAUUGGCUAAAAAAAAAAAUGAGGCUAAAAGUAGGGAAGAUAUUCCCUAUCAUAUCCAUCAAAAUUCCUGAAUGCCACCUCAUGAUGAUUCUCUAUUUUUAAGGAGAAAAUAGGAAAAUGACAGUUUCUAAUUCCUUCUAGGCACUUCUGAAAAUACACGUGCAUUAAAGAAUGUUUGCCUGUAGUCUUAUUUUGAACAUUUUAAAAAUAGUACCUGGAGGUGACUACAUGACUAAUGCACUGUGAUUUAAAAUGUACUUGAGGUUUGAUUUCUCUCAAUGCCAUUGGAAGAGUUCAGACACACGAGGAAGCCACAGCAGCCUCUCUACAUCAGUACCAAUGGGCUGGUUUACAGGCCACAGGGCAAACUGGCCUUUUUCUGCAUUCCUUUUUCCAUCUUUCAGAAAACAAAAAAAGGCAUGUAAAAUCAAGUUCUACUACUUACACAAUGUGUAACUGCCAAUUUAUCUGAACAAAACAUGUUAGUGCUUUCUCCGGUGAAAAAACAAAAGAACUAUGACAAAUACAGAUCCAUUCAGUUUCUUCACUGUCUUGAUAGCGUGGCUGUCCCUUACUCCUUGACUCCUCUGCCAAAUCCCUCAUGCAAGCCAGCUCAGUUCACAUCUGUAUUGUAAUAUACUGUAAACAGGAUUGUAGAUUGCUCCUGCCUGUUUUCCGACCAAAAUUAAGGCUCCCAAUGUCACCUGGAGAGCUAGAGAUUGGUUAAUGCAUUACCUUAGGGAAAAAACUUGACUACCUGCUUCCAUUAAGACCCUAAAGUAGUUUGACUUACUCAGAUUAUUCUAUGCUGGCUGCAUCUAUAGAAUCAAAAGAAUCAGUGGGGGGCCCUUGUUAAACAUAGAUUUCCAGGCCCCAACCUACAAUUACUACAACACAACCAGGACAGACACCUGGGAAUGUAAAAGUUUUACCAAGUUCUUCAGGUCAUUCUUGGGUACAAACAAGUGAGAGUAGUCUUCUUAAACUUGAAGGUGCAUACAAAUGACACUGGGCUCUUCAAACAAAUGCAGAUUUUGAUCCAAUUGGUCUGGGUAGGACCCAAGAUUCUGGAUUUCUAACAAGUUCCCAGGUGAUAUUGCUGAUCUGAGGGUACUUUAGGUAGCAAGGUCAGAGAGGGUAUGUCUCAUCUGGCUGGUGUAUAAAUCAGUAUGGACCACUAUAUUUUCUUUCUGUAUUUGUGGAUUCUCUACCAGGGGCCUCUCCUGUCUUGAUGCUGCCCAUUUCUCAUUUUUUGCUGAUUUGUGUCUCUACAAGCUAGCGUGACCAGUUAAGGUAAGGCAUCCUGCCCCUCUCCACUUAGCUUAUAUAAAAGUCUGUGCAAAGAUUGAACAGCUUAACCUAAACAGAAAUGCACACCACACAUUAACUUACAACAUAAUGGGUUUAUAUUUAAUAUAGUAUUUCUCACUAUGGAGAUGUUAGUUAAUAUAAAGUUUUUUUUAACAUUAAAUCGCUACUCCAUUUCAAUGUCAAUAUAAAGUAAUUUUUUUACAUUAAAUCUUUUCUCCAUUUCACUGUUAGAUACACUGAAUACAUUUUUUAACCUUCUUCCCACCAAAGAAAUAAAAUUUUAAUUUCGGACUGACUGUAUAUCAUAUCUAAGUACAAUAUUAACUUGGGAGAUAACAAAAACAAAAAUAUAAUAAAAAUAUGGAGAAAAGACUCCAAAAAGAUGCAGGGGGCAGUGAUUACAACUGAACAGUGGUGAUUUCCUAGGAUUCUGGGCCAGAGCUUCCUUCUUCCUAUUUUAUGUGCUUUGAGAAUUCUGAAACUAUGAAAUGUUACAUAUGAAAACUUCAGCCCUCUUACUUUGAUCCUCUUUCUAAGCAGCAAAUACAAAUUAUAGACUGCAUUUGUCAGUACAUCAUUUGUUGGGAAACUUUUCUUUCCAUUUAACAUAUAUCAAUUUGUUCCCAUUUAUAGUGAAAACAGUUAAUUAAGAAUGUGAAUUUACCCUAUUUACUGUUUCUUGGGAACUUCCAGACACCAAAGCUCUGUUUUUAGCCUCAAUAGCACAAAGAUUUUCAGGGCAAGGUUUGAUUCAGGAGGCUCUUCAAAGUCACAUCUGUCCAUUUCUCUUUCGUGCAUAUAUCCCCAAACAAGCACAAAUGCCUGUAACGCUGAGUACCACACCUAACAAGAGAGCAACUGCAUCUCCCGUUUCUACUGCUUCAACAACAGGCAGCACCAAAAGCAGUGAAAUGAGAACUAAGAACACUUGAGUUGAAACUGAGGUCAUGAUGCUGGGACUAAGAGCUUCUGCGUGACACCGCCUAUUAUCAGAGGAGGGUAGGAUUU
ensembl:lncRNA